GGACUCUCAAAGUAAUGGGGGGGAAGCUCGGGGAAACUCGAAUUAAUACCGCAUACGACCUACGGGAGAAAGGGCCGCAGUUUACUGCUCUCGCUAUUAGAUGAGCCUAAGUCGGAUUAGCUAGAUGGUGGGGUAAAGGCCUACCAUGGCGACGAUCUGUAGCUGGUCUGAGAGGAUGAUCAGCCACACCGGGACUGAGACACGGCCCGGACUCCUACGGGAGGCAGCAGUGGGGAAUAUUGGACAAUGGGGGAAACCCUGAUCCAGCCAUGCCGCGUGUGUGAAGAAGGCCUUUUGGUUGUAAAGCACUUUAAGCAGUGAAGAAGACUCCUCGGUUAAUACCCGUGGACGAUGACAUUAGCUGCAGAAUAAGCACCGGCUAACUCUGUGCCAGCAGCCGCGGUAAUACAGAGGGUGCAAGCGUUAAUCGGAAUUACUGGGCGUAAAGCGAGCGUAGGUGGCUUGAUAAGUCAGAUGUGAAAUCCCCGGGCUUAACCUGGGAACUGCAUCUGAAACUGUUAGGCUAGAGUAGGUGAGAGGAAGGUUAGAAUUCCAGGUGUAGCGGUGAAAAUGCGUAGAGAUCUGGAGGAAUACCGAUGGCGAAGGCAGCCUUCUGGCAUCAUACUGACACUGAGGCUCGAAAGCGUGGGUAGCAAACAGGAUUAGAUACCCCUGGUAGUCCACGCCGUAAACGAUGUCUACUAGUCGCUGGGUCCCUUGAGGGACUUAGUGACGCAGCUAACGCAUUAAGUAGACCGCCCUGGGGAGUACGGCCGCCUAGGUUAAAACUCCAAUGAAUUGACGGGGGCUCCGCACAAGCGUUGGAGCAUGGUGGUUUAU
rnacentral:rRNA from 1 species